GACGAACGCUGGCGGCGUGCCUAAUACAUGCAAGUUGAGCGCUGAAGGUUGGUACUUGUACCGACUGGAUGAGCAGCGAACGGGUGAGUAACGCGUGGGGAAUCUGCCUUUGAGCGGGGGACAACAUUUGGAAACGAAUGCUAAUACCGCAUAAAAACUUUAAACACAAGUUUUAAGUUUGAAAGAUGCAAUUGCAUCACUCAAAGAUGAUCCCGCGUUGUAUUAGCUAGUUGGUGGGGUAAAGGCUCACCAAGGCGAUGAUACAUAGCCGACCUGAGAGGGUGAUCGGCCACAUUGGGACUGAGACACGGCCCAAACUCCUACGGGAGGCAGCAGUAGGGAAUCUUCGGCAAUGGACGAAAGUCUGACCGAGCAACGCCGCGUGAGUGAAGAAGGUUUUCGGAUCGUAAAACUCUGUUGGUGGAGAAGAACGUUGGUGAGAGUGGAAAGCUCAUCAAGUGACGGUAACUACCCAGAAAGGGACGGCUAACUACGUG
rnacentral:rRNA from 1 species